GACGAACGCUGGCGGCGUGCUUAACUCAUGCAAGUCGAACGGUAAGGCCCUUUCGGGGGUACACGAGUGGCGAACGGGUGAGUAACACGUGGGUGAUCUGCCCUGCACUUUGGGAUAAGCCUGGGAAACUGGGUCUAAUACCGGAUAGGACUACGCGAUGCAUGUCGUGUGGUGGAAAGCUUUUGCGGUGUGGGAUGGGCCCGCGGCCUAUCAGCUUGUUGGUGGGGUGAUGGCCUACCAAGGCGACGACGGGUAGCCGGCCUGAGAGGGUGUCCGGCCACACUGGGACUGAGAUACGGCCCAGACUCCUACGGGAGGCAGCAGUGGGGAAUAUUGCACAAUGGGCGCAAGCCUGAUGCAGCGACGCCGCGUGGGGGAUGACGGCCUUCGGGUUGUAAACCCCUUUCAGCACAGACGAAGCGUAAGUGACGGUAUGUGCAGAAGAAGCACCGGCCAACUACGUG
rnacentral:rRNA from 1 species